UCUGACCAGCCAUGCCGCGUGGAGGAUGAAGGUCCUCUGGAUUGUAAACUUCUUUUAUCGGAGAAGAAACCCAGACAUUCCUGUUUGGUUGACGGUACCCGAUGAAUAAGCACCGGCUAACUCCGUGCCAGCAGCCGCGGUAAUACGGAGGGUGCAAGCGUUAUCCGGAUUCACUGGGUUUAAAGGGUGCGUAGGUGGGUUGGUAAGUCAGUGGUGAAAUCUCCGGGCUUAACUCGGAAACUGCCGUUGAUACUAUCAAUCUUGAAUAUUGUGGAGGUAAGCGGAAUAUGUCAUGUAGCGGUGAAAUGCUUAGAUAUGACAUAGAACACCGAUAGCGAAGGCAGCUUGCUACACAAUAAUUGACACUGAGGCACGAAAGCGUGGGGAUCAAACAGGAUUAGAUACCCUGGUAGUCCACGCCCUAAACGAUGGAUACUCGACAUACGCGAUACACAGUGUGUGUCUGAGCGAAAGCAUUAAGUAUCCCACCUGGGAAGUACGACCGCAAGGUUGAAACUCAAG
rnacentral:rRNA from 1 species